rnacentral:misc_RNA from 1 species
AUCCUGUAGAGCUUUACUCCAAAUUUAUAUUUUUAUUAUUUUUUAGUUUUACAUUGAAAUUUACAUAUGAGGGACCUAUAAAAUGUGAUUUGGAUGAGCAGGUAUUGUCCAUAUUUUUCUCUAGGAGGGAACACCGAACUACAAAUCAAACUUUUUUGGGGAAGAACCACAACUUUAGGUUAAAUGGCACUAACUUAUGAAGUACUAUACCAUGAUAAGGAAUUGUGUCUUGAAUAUAUUGUGAAAGCCACAAAGUUUUCGAUCUUAAAAUGGAUAUUAUGGACAACUGCAUUCAACAUUAUAGGAUUAAUGUGUCAUCUGCACCACCAAGACUGGCGUCUACUGCUCGUAGUAGCUGCCUCUCUUUGUAUAUGCCUAUUACUCAAGAUAUACCUUAAAGUUGUCCAGGAAUCCUUAUUGAUUGUAAAAUCACUUGGAGUACAACAAACUACAACAUUUGCAACUGGCCGCACAAAAUCUACAUUCUUUAAUGAUAUUGACAUUAAAGCACUUGUAAUUAACGAGGCUGUGACAAUGCAUACUAUAACAUCCUACUUGGCCAUCCUGCUUAAGACAAACCCCACAAAUACACCACCGAUCAAAAUUGCUCAAAAUGGAUAUACUCAAGAAAGAUACAUUGACAAUACUGUUGUAUUGAAAGCUGAAGAAAAGACAAAUGAAUUCAAGGUCGUGCCACUGUAUACCUCACUGUGGCCAAGAUUGCCAUUUCUCAUAUCUGUUUAUCAGGGAUCACAAAUUCUCAGUUUAAAUCAGAGACAUGAAAAGAUUUCUUGAGACCAUUUACCAUUACCAUUUACCUUGAGACCAUUUUUUAUAUUUAUUGGAGCUCUCAUAAGAAUACUGGACUUAAAAAUAAUUACAAAAACAAGACAUCCGAAUUGUGAACAUUGAGUUUUGAAUGCACCUACAGUGAGACCUGAAUAUCCAAACAUCUCUGUAAUAUGAACAAAAAUAAGGCAUAUAAAGGGGCAACAAGGACUGUAG